UACGGAGGGUGCAAGCGUUGCUCGGAAUUAUUGGGCGUAAAGGGUAGGUAGGUGGUCUUAUUUGUCUGGGGUGAAAGCCUUGGGCUUAACCCAAGAAGUGCCUCAGAAACGGUAAGACUAGAGUCCUAGAGAGGGUCGUGGAAUUCCCGGUGUAGCGGUGAAAUGCGCAGAUAUCGGGAGGAACACCGGUGGCGAAGGCGGUUCUCUGGGCCUUACCUGACGCUGAGGAGCGAAAGCGUGGGGAGCGAACAGG
rnacentral:rRNA from 1 species